UAAGAAAGGUGCUGUGACUCUUAACUUCC
rnacentral:piRNA from 1 species